UUUCAGAAUAUAAUUGCGGGGAAUUGUUUUCCGAGCACCGCGAGCUGUGGAGCUGGUCGAAUCGGCAUUUAGCCACGCACCAACAAAACGUGUGUGUACAGAUAGUCUUUGCCCCCUCACUAUGUACUGUAUUUUUAUUUUGAAUGUCAAGUAUGAUAGAUCUGAAGAUCUGAAGACGAACAACUGAACAACUGAUCUGAAUUAUUGAAAAAAGAAUCGCCAGUAUUUAGUACUCCAGUUGUAAGAAUUGGAUAAAAACACUGUAUUACACCCACUAAUUUAAAACCGGGAGAAAUUCGGCUGGAGGUUUUCUACAGGCUGCGCUGACAAUAGAAAUAUCGGUAGAGAAAUUAAAGCAUAAAACUCUACUUAGCAUCAGUCUACAGUACGUGCACGCAAACAGUCACGUUGUUCCUCGCUUCUACAGAAAAAAACUUGAUCACAAACAUUAAACUACAGUGAAAAAAAGCUAAAAUCUAAUGGCACUAUACUGUAUAUUGUAGACAAAAACUUUUAAUCAGCAAUUAUUUCCGUAGGGAACUGAUGAUUUAAGAUCUGAAAACCGCAAUUGUAAAUUACUUAGUGACCCGAUGUUAAAUAAGAUGGUAAGAAAAACAUUUAUUUACACUUUCCGAAACCCGAUUAAUUAUCCGGUUUCAGGGAUGCGAGUGUUAACUGCUGCAGCCCCUACGGAAGCAUCUCAUUCGAAGAGAAGAUUGAAUGGAUCAUUUAUCACCGCUGAUAAAUUUCUUCCAAUGACUGGCAUGGAAUAAACCUAUUACUUGUUCCUUAACCGAAAUAAGGUGUAGACAAACGGAAUAUAAUAUUGUUCAACAAGGGAAAACAUUC
rnacentral:lncRNA from 1 species